UACAGAGGUCUCAAGCGUUGUUCGGAUUCACUGGGCUUAAAGGGUGCGUAGGCGGGUGGUCAAGUCAGGGGUGAAAUCCUUCAGCUUAACUGGAGAACAGCUUUUGAUACUGGCCAUCUUGAGGGAGGUAGGGGCAUGUGGAACUUCCGGUGGAGCGGUGAAAUGCGUAGAUAUCGGAAGGAACGCCGGUGGCGAAAGCGACGUGCUGGACCUCUUCUGACGCUGAGGCACGAAAGCCAGGGGAGCAAACGGG
rnacentral:rRNA from 1 species